rnacentral:rRNA from 1 species
AACGAACGCUGGCGGCAGGCUUAACACAUGCAAGUCGAACGGUGUAGCAAUACACAGUGGCAGACGGGUGAGGAACACGUGGGAACAUCCCUUUCAGUUCGGAAUAACGUUGGGAAACUAACGCUAAUACCGGAUACGUCCUUCGGGAGAAAGAUUUAUCGCUGAAAGAUUGGCCCGCGUCUGAUUAGCUAGUUGGUGAGGUAAUGGCUCACCAAGGCGACGAUCAGUAGCUGAUCUGAGAGGAUGAUCAGCCACAUUGGGACUGAGACACGGCCCAAACUCCUACGAGAGGCAGCAGUGGGUAAUAUUGGACAAUGGGCGCAGGCCUGAUCCAGCCAUGCCGCGUGAGUGAUGAAGGCCUUCGGGUUGUAAAGCUCUUUUGUCCGGGAAGAUAAUGACUGUACCGGAAGAAUAAGCCCCGGCAAACUUCGUGCCAGCAGCCGCAGUAA